GAGUAUGCCUAGGAAUCUGCCUAGUCGGGGGGGAUAACGUCCGGAAGGAGACGCUAAUACCGCAUACGUCCUACGGGAGAAAGGGGGGAUCUUCGGACCUCACGCUAUUAGAUGAGCCUAGGUCGGAUUAGCUAGUUGGUGAGGUAAUGGCUCACCAAGGCGACGAUCCGUAACUGGUCUGAGAGGAUGAUCAGUCACACUGGAACUGAGACACGGCCAGACUCACUACGGGAGGCAGCAGUGGGGAAUAUUGGACAAUGGGCGAAAGCCUGAUCCAGCCAUGCCGCGCGUGUGAAGAAGGUCUUCGGAUUGUAAAGCACUUUAAGUUGGGAGGAAGGGCAGUUACCUAAUACGUGAUUGUUUUGACGUUACCGACAGAAUAAGCACCGACUAACUCUGUGCCAGCAGCCGCGGUAAUACAGAGGGUGCAAGCGUUAAUCGGAAUUACUGGGCGUAAAGCGCGCGUAGGUGGUUUGUUAAGUUGGAUGUGAAAGCCCCGGGCUCAACCUGGGAACUGCAUCCAAAACUGGCAAGCUAGAGUAUGGAAGAGGGUGGUGGAAUUUCCUGUGUAGCGGUGAAAUGCGUAGAUUUAGGAAGGAACACCAGUGGCGAAGGGCGACCACCUGGACUGAUACUGACACUGAGGUGCGAAAAGCGUGGGGAGCAAACAGGAUUAGAUUCCCUGGUAGUCCACGCCGUAAACGAUGUCAACUAGCCGUUGGAAGCCUUUGAGUUUUUAGGGGCGCAGUUAACGCAUUAAGUUGACCGCCUGGGGAGUACGGCCGCAAGUUUAAAAACUCAAAUGAAUUGAC
rnacentral:rRNA from 1 species